rnacentral:lncRNA from 1 species
UUCUUGAAACUUUUUAAAAUAAAUGAUAGUGAUAAAUAAUAUUUAUUGUAGUUGGGCAUAUGCAUAGAAGGUAUUGUUUUUGUGAUUUAAAAAAGAUAUGUGAUUUCAUGGGGUACAAUUUUCUCUUUUUCUCAAGCAAGAAUAAAUUAGAAAAGAUAUUAAUUUAUUUUUACAUAUUUUUUUUUAUAUUAAAUCCAAGUUUCAAGCCUUUUUUGACUAA